rnacentral:misc_RNA from 1 species
AAGUCGUAACAAGGCCUCCGUAGGUGAACCUGCGGAGGGAUCAUUACAGAGUUCAUGCCCUAACGGGUAGGAUCUCCCACCCCUAUGUUAUUAUUUACCUUUGUUGCUUUGGUGGGCCGUCAGGCUCACGCCCCGGCUACCGGCUCACGCUGGUAAGCGCCCGCCAGAGAACCCCCAAACCCUGAAUAUUAGUGUCGUCUGAGUACUAUAAAUAGUUAAAA